CUUUUAGGGCUGCAAGACAUCAAAGAUAUCAAACAUGAGUGUUUACAUGCACGUACAUGUAGGGGUGGUUCGGUAUGGGAUCCCAUACCUAAACCCUUGUCCCGAUUCCCAAACCAAAUUUUUCGGGAAUCCCAAUUUGAAUACCGAUCCCAAACCAAAUUUUCGGGAAUCCCAAUUUUCAGGAAUCCUGAAAUAGUUUCGGGAUUUCGAGACAAAUCGGGAAUCCCGAAAUGGUUUUGGGCUUUUGGGCUUUUGGGCUUUUGGACUAAAAUUUGAAUUGUUAGAUUGUGCAAACAUAUCAAGCAAGUCUCAUUCACAUUCUUGGAAGUCAUAGAUUGUGCAGGCUGGUUAGUCUAAGACUGAGAAUCUAUUGCAUCUCUUGCUAGUUUAAAUGCAAAUAUAAUCUCAUAUCGGAGCAUAAGCAUUGGAUUGCAAACUGUAAACUUUGCUUGAAGGCUUUUAACCUGACUGACAAGCAUUGCUACCUUGCGCUGCUUUGUUGUCCAUUUACCAGUAAUCUGCAUAUGUAAAAUACAUAUUUACAAUGCCAACAAGCUCCAUUUAUUGGUGUAAACAGUAAAGAGACUCAAGCAUAGUAACUAGCUGAUCCAACAUUCUUGGUUUCGACAUAAAUAAAACAACAUUGCUUACGUUAUAUCAUAAUUCAUAACAUAUUCCAUUCUCUGUAAUAAGUUCAAACCAUAAAGUCCAUAAUCAAUUAUAAAAGAAUAAUAUAUAUGUAUAAAUAUAUAUAUAUAAUAAUUAAUAAUAUAUAUUUUCGGUUUGGUAUGGGAUUCCCGAAAUAUCGAGAAGCCAAUCCCGAAUCCUGUACCAAAAUUUCGGUUUGGGAAAUUUUUGGUUUGGGAUCGGGAUUUUUUCGGUUCGGUUCGGGAUUUUUGGGAAUUUUUUCCACCCCUACGUACAUGUUAUCCUCUUAAAUUCCCAUCUCUUUCUAAGAUGUUGAUUUACCUUUUCAACUUAUGAUUUCAAUAUGCCAAAUAAAAAAAAUAAGUAAUCCACUAAUUACGUCACUAGUACUACAAUUCCAUGAUAUUUUUCUCCUCUUACAAUUAUACAAUCUCAUUAGAUUUGACUUUAUUGAUAAUGAGUUAAUACUU
rnacentral:lncRNA from 1 species